rnacentral:lncRNA from 1 species
CGGGCAGCGUCUGGGGACAGCGUGUUGGGCUGUGGGGAGGUUACCGAAAGGAAACGGGCCGAGUCCAGUUGUUUGAGCGGUUUUCUCCUUCCACGAGCGUGUGUGAAAAAGCGCGGAGUUCGGUGGAGGGCAGCUGCCAGGACUGCCUCCUGGACUGGGUAAUUGUACAUUUUUUCAUCCUACAUCUCAAGAGACCAAGGGACCUAAGUAAAUUGAUCUACUUGCCAAUGACUGUAAGAAAGACAAAGAAGUUGUAAAAACAUCCAAAUGAUGUUAAACAUAAAUUAGCUCAGAAUAGUUUGCAGAAGAUAAACUACCAGCGUCAAAGCAUGCAUUAAAAACUGGAAAGAAAUUAAAAGUGUGGUAUUGAAAGAUGUACAACUGACUUUGGAAAAAGGAUUCCUCUCUAAUUGGUGUUUGUAAGUGAUCGAAAUAAACAUUUUUAAACUA